GCUGAGCAAGAAUAAAGCGGUGGUGAGGAAAGUGGCUCUGUCAAAUCAUAGGCUGACUGCAUGGUAAAAAAAAGACGUAGCUAAUUCCAGAUUGCGUUUUACAGCGGAAUGUUCACUCGAAGGGGCCAUGGAGACGUCAAGAAAUCUACACAGAAAGUUCUGGACCCAAAGAAGGAUGUAUUGACCCGACUGAAGCACCUCCGGUCACUGUUAGAUAUCUUUGAGAAGAGCGAAUUGAAGACCUUCUUCGAAAGCAACUGUUCUCAGAUUUAUUUUAUCUUCUAUGAAAAUUUCAUUACACUGGAAAGUAACUUAAAGCAAAAAGGGAACAAAUCUCAGAGGGAGGAGCUGGACUCUAUCCUCUUUAUUUUUGAAAAAAUUCUGCAACUUCUACCAGAAAAAAUCUACAGUCGAUGGCAGUUCCACAGUAUAGGUUCUAUUCUGAAAAAGCUUUUGCACACUGGAAACUCAUUCAAGAUCAGAUGUGAGGGAAUUCGUCUGUUCCUGCUGUGGCUGCAGGCCCUGCAGAAUAACUGUGCAGAGGAACAGUUCCUCAUCUUCGCCUGCCUGGUGCCAGGCUUCCCUGCUGUGCCCUCCACCAGAGGACCCUGCACCCUGGAUACCAUCAUCUACAACCCUUUCUCCAACCCUUCCGAUGCCAAGGUGGUGCCUGAGGAGAUCACCCCACUGGUGCCAGCUGUGCCAGGGGAGAAGCUGGCAGAUGACCAGACCUGCUACAUCCUCCAAACCCUGCUCAAGUUCAUGGUUGUCCAGGCGUCUAGUUUAGAGUGGAGGAACAAAGACAACCAGGACACCGGCUUCAGGUUCCUCUUCAGUCUGUUCAAGAAGUACUACCUUCCUCACCUCUUCCCCUCCUUCACCAAGCUCACCAACCUCUACAAGCCACUUUUAGACCUCCCCCACCACAGACCAAAGCCUCUGUAUGUCCCAGUGACCCGUAACAACGAGAGCACGUUCUGUACGAGGGACCAGUACCUAGCUCCCCGUGUGGCCUUUAUCACCUGGCUGGUCACCUUCUUCCUGGACAAGAAGUACAUCAGCACCCCCAGCGCCAAGAACGGGACGAACGAGGUCAUCCCCAAACUCAUCCAGACUGUCACUGCAGGCAGUAGCAGUCAGGAGAAGGAGAGGGAUAAAGACCGUGGUGGUAGUGAGGAGCCCCACGGCCCUACAGAGCCAGAGAAGAGCCACUCUAACAGUAGCACGCUGUCUGACCGGCGCCCCAGCGACUCCAGCCUGUGCAGCAUCGACGAGGAGCACCGCAGCGUCUACGACAUGGUGCACGGCAUCCUGCUCUCCACACGGGACAACAUCAACUUCGUCAACGAGGUCUUUCACCAGGCCUUCCUGUUGCCCUCCUGUGAGACGUCAGCGACCCGGAAGGUGAUCAAGGUGUACAGGAAGUGGAUCCUGCAGGAGAAGCCAGGCUUCAUGACGGAGCCAGAGAAGAGCAGACAGGCUGAGGUGGAGGAGAACCCUGAGCAGCUGCUCAUCACUGAGACUGACAACACACACACACCGGUGUUGAAAAGUCACGGUCACAAGCGUUCAUCCAGUUGGGGAAGAACAUACUCUUUCAGCAGUGCCAUCAGCCGGGGCUGUCUCACUGAGGAACAGAACAGAGACAUCAAGGCUGGCAUCCAGCCCACCCUGCAGGUGUUCCUGACCAACUCUGCCAACGUGUUUCUACUGGAGCCAUGCCAGGACGUGCCCAAACUACUGGACAACCAGGUGGAGGUGUGCAAGGGGGUGCUGAGCAUCUACCGCCACAUGAUCAUGGAGCACGCCAUGAACACACAGACAUGGCAGCAGAUGCUACAGGUGCUGCUGAGGAUCACUGAGGCGGUGAUGAAGAGGCCUCAGGAGAACCAAAGAAAAGACCUCUUCGCUGAGAGCCUGGCUGCCAUCCUCUUCAGGACAAUCAUCGUGGCGUGGGUACGGGCCAACCUGUGUGUGUUCAUCUCUCGGGAGCUGUGGGAUGAGCUGCUGUCUGUGCUGUCGUCUCUGACAGGCUGGGAGGAGCUGGUGACCGAGUGGGCCAGCAUCAUGGAUUCUCUGACCGCGGUCCUGGCCCGCUCCGUUUACGGCCUGGACAUGAGUAACCUGCCCCUGGACAAACUCAGCGAACAGAAGGAGAAGAAACAGAGGGGACGGGGAGUGGUCCAGGACUCCCAGAAGGCAGCAGCGGUGGCCAGGUCCUUCUCUCUGAGCUGGAGGAACCAGGGAGACCAGCAGGGGGUCCAGGAGCCCAUGCGGUUCCGCAGCGCUACCACCUCAGGGGCCCCUGGCGUGGAGAAGGCCCGCAACAAUGUCCGACAGAAAGCCACAGACGUGGAGGAGGGCCAGCUGUCUGAGUGUGGGGGAGACGGAGACCUGGAGUCUGGAGACAGCCCUCUACCACGCAGCAGCAGCACCUCCGACAUCACACUGUCUGACACCUUCCCAGGCCAGAAGAGAGCGUACUCCCCCAACAACUCCUGUGUCUCCGAUGGCAAGACGUCAGAAGGGAGGAGAGAUGGCGACCCACCCUUGAUUCUGAUCCGGCGGAGCAGCAGUCCAGCUGAGCUGGACUACCCUGUAGAGGGACACAGCACAUACACAAGGCUCCAGCUCCGGGAGAAAAGUGAGAGUGUGAGCAGCGAGACGUCCAACGGCUACCUGAACGACGCUGACAGCAGCCUGCUGGCCUGGCAGGCGUUUGAGGAGGAGGCAGACUUCCAUUCAGCCCAGCUAGGGGUCAAAGCAGACACAGAGAGCCAGAGGAACCUGCUGCUCAGCCACAAUGAGGCCCUUGCAGGUCCCGAGUGUGCCCUCUCUCCCCACUCCGCACCACUGUCUCAGCACCAGCACCCCCCCGCCUCGCCAGCUUUGCUCGUGCACCCUGAGUGCCGGGACUGCCCCCAGCUCCUGGAGGACACCAUGCAUCAGGCUGUGUUACACAUGCCUCAGGACCUGGACAGCAGUGAGUGUCUGACUGAUGAUGUCAGCAUCAUUGCAGGCGGGAGCCUAACAGGCUGGCACGCUGACUCAGCCUUUGUGCUCUGGAGGAGGAUUCUGGGUAUCCUGGGGGAUGUCAACAGCAUCCGCUGCCCCAGGAUCCACGCCAAGGUGUUCAGUUACCUCUACGACCUGUGGCACAAAUUGGCUAAGAUCCGGGACAACCUGGGCAUCAGUGUGGAUAACCAGUCAUCUCCUCCCCGCCCUGUCUUCAUCCCUCCUCUCAGAAUGCUGGCCUCCUGGCUCUUCAAGGCCACCAUGCUGCCAUCAGAGUUCAAGAUGGGGAAACUGCAGGCCUAUAAACUCAUCUGUGAGAUGAUGACUAAGAACCAGGACGUGCUGCCCAACAGUGACUUCCUGGUCCAUCUCUACCAAGUCAUGCACAAGGGCUUCACCAGCGAGGACCAGGACGUUCUAAACACAGUGAUCCGUUCCUGUUCCCCACGCUUCUUCUACCUGGGCCUGCCUGGCUUCACUAUGCUGGUGGGAGACUUCAUCACCGCUGCAGCACGGGUCCUCAGCCACGACACCGCCGAGGCUCCGAGGAUUGACGCACAGACUGUCCUUGGGUCGCUGGUCUGUUUUCCCAACAUCUACCUGCAGAUUCCUCUACUGCAGACUGUUCCUGGAACUGAUAACAUCGUCGUCGGGAACGAGGACAUUAAGGACUAUCUGGUCAACAUCUUACUGAAGACGGCACGGAAUGAACCCUGUGAGGCUGCCAGGUGUAUAGCUGUGUGUAGUCUGGGCCUGUGGGUAUGUGAGGAACUGAUGCAGAAUAAUAUUCACCACCAGGUCAAGGAUGCCAUCAAUGUACUGGGCGUAACACUAAAGUUUGGGAACAAGGUUGUGGCUCAUGUAGCCUGUGACCUGUUCCAGCUCCUCAUCUCUCACUGGGAACACCUCCAGAGGCUAGAGCGCUCUCUCCCAAAGAAAAUCAUUGAGAUCUUUGUGGCUACUAUAGCAUUUCUGUUGCCGAGCGCAGAGCACUCUGCAGUGGAGGCUGACAAAAAGCUAAUGGUGUCUCUGCUGCUGUGCCUGCUGGACUGGUGCAUGGCCAUGCCCCUGAGUAUGCUGCUGGAGCCCAUCACCAUGCCCGUGCUGGAGGACUCCACAUCCCACAAGGCCCCUCUGCUCGACUACAUCUACAGGGUGCUUCACUGUUGUGUCUCUGGCUCCAACCUGCACACCCAGCAGAGUCACUACCUCCUGAGCCUGUCUGACCUCUCCACUGACUACGACCCCUUCCUCAUGCUGGGCCAGGUCAAAAAUUCUGAGCCCCCGCCCUCACACACUGCUGCAGACUUUGGCAACCUGCUCACCGUUGCCGAAGAGAAGAAAAGACGGAAUAUGGAGCUCAUCCCUCUGACGGCACGGAUGAUCAUGACACACCUUGUGAACCACCUGGGCCACCAUCCCCUCAGUGGUGGCCCCGCCCUCCUGCACAGCCUGGUCAGUGAGAACCAUGACAACCCCUUUGUGGAGUCAUCAGAACUCUCCUCUGAGGUGUUCAAGAGCCCCAACCUGCAGCUGUUUGUGUUCAACGACAGCACCCUGGUGUCCUACCUCCAGGUACCCUCGGAGCCCUCUGAUCCAGGGGAACCCCACGACAACUCCUCCCAGGUACGGGUCAUCGUCAGGGACAUCUCUGGAAAGUACUCCUGGGACGGAGGGGUCCUCUACCGCACCCAGGAGGGAGUCAACGGCAUGCAUCAGAGGACCUCAGACCCCUCCAACCACUCCACCACCAAGCCUACCUCACCAGGCACCUCAGACCCUUCCAACCACUCCACCACCAAGCCCACCUCACCAGGCACCUCAGACCCCUACAACCACUCCACCACCAAGCCCACCUCACCAGGCACCUCAGACCCCUACAACCACUCCACCUCCAAGCCCACCUCACCAGGCACCUCCGAGCGCUCCAACCCCCCUGGCUGGGACUCCCAGUCAGGCUGUGAUGAGGAGGAGGUAGAUGGCCUGGACCAGCUCCUAGAAGACCUGGGAUACAGCAGCCCUGAGUGCCUGCCCCAGCCCCGGCUGAGGCUCAACCAGCCAGCCCCCUCUCCCUGUGGGAUGAACCUGGAGCAGGAGGGGGCCAUCAUGGAGGCCAUCCUCAGGCAGAUGCAGCAGGAGGAGGAGCAGGUGAAGAGGUGGAACGCAGACGUGAGCGUCAAGGCCACCAGCCAGAGAGAACCCGCUCACCAGGAGCCCAAAGCUUUCUUCUACUUCUGCAGACUGCUACUCAACGACCUGGGCAUGAACUCAUGGGACCACAGGAAAAGCUUUCAUCUCCUGAAGAAGAACUCAAAACUUUUGAGAGAACUGAAGAAUUUGGAUUCCAGGCAGUGCAGGGAGACACACAAGAUCGCUGUGUUCUACAUCGGGGAGGGUCAGGAGGACAAAUGCUCCAUCCUGUCCAACAGCGCAGGCAGUCAGACCUACGAGGAUUUUGUGUCUGGCCUGGGAUGGGAGGUGGAUCUAGCCACACACUGUGGCUUCAUGGGCGGGCUUCAGAGGAACGGCAGCACAGGACACACUGCUCCCUACUACGCUACCUCCACGAUGGAAGUCAUCUUGCAUGUGUCCACACGCAUGCCGUCCAACUCUGACGACUGCCUCACCAAAAAGCUGCGUCACCUGGGAAACGAUGAAGUUCACAUAGUGUGGUCUGAGCACAGCAGGGACUACCGGCGCGGCAUCAUCCCCACUGACUUUGGAGACGUGCUGAUCAUCGUGUACCCCAUGAAGAACCACACGUUCUUCAUCCAGAUCAUGAAGAAACCACAGGUCCCUUUCUUUGGGCCUUUGUUCAACGGGGCCAUCGUCACUGGAACGCUGCUGCCCAGCCUGGUGCGUGCCACCUGCAUCAACGCCAGCAGAGCUGUCAAGUCCCGCCUGACGCUCUACCAGAGCUUCUAUGAGGAGCGUGCGCUUUACCUGGAGGCCAUCGUGCAGAACCACCGGGAGGUCAUGACCUUUGAGGACUUUGCCUCGCAGGUCUUCUCCCCUUCAACCAGCUACUACCCAAUGAGUGGGACAGGUCAGAAUCCUACUCUGCUCCUCCACUUCCUCCUCUACUCCACAGCAGCACACCUGUUAGCCCUCCUCUUCAGACCCCUCCAUCUCUAUGUCCUGGUCCUUGUCUCCUCACACCCACACUCUGAUGAAUAUCAAAGGCAGCAGGGCCAAGCUCUCUCCACACUGUCUGAGCAGCAGCAUCAAAGACUUUACCGUGGCUCAACAACUUAGUCAGGCCCUGCUCCUUGUCUCUCCGUGUUCUGUUUCAUCUCACCCCCUCCUCUGUUUUUAUCUCCCCCUCUCAUUUAAUUAGCCCGGCAGAAAUAUACAUGAUGUGACAUGAUUGAAUGUGGGUUAAACCCGGUGUAUGUGAUCAGUCCUCUUAUCAGAGCGUUCAUACCUGUACCAGAGAUAUGCAGUCUGCUAAACACUGGGUUCACACUGCUGUCUCCCAGAGGUCAGGAAGAGGGGAGACUGAGGGGUGACUUCAUUAAACAAUGUCUCCUCUUCCUGCCCUGGCUUGGCCUAGAUCUGAUGGGUCUAUAACAACAACAACACCGCUAACAUCCAAUCAGUACAGCAAUGCUCUCAUGCACUGAUACAAUUGGAAACCUGUGUUCUUUUAUUGUCAUGACUGGAAACUUAAUCUGUUAUUGUGUGUGUGUCUUGCCUACGUGCGUACGAACAUGUCUCUGUGUGUGUAUGUUGUGUCUGUACGUGUGAGUAUGUGUGUGUGUUGUCCAGAUUUCAGCGAGCAGUCCCAGAAGGCAGGGUUGAUAAGCAGACUGGCAGAGGCAGGAGGUAGUCUGAUAGGCAGACUGGCAGAGGCAGGAGGUAGUCUGAUAGGCAGACUGGCAGAGGCAGGAGGUAGUCUGAUAGGCAGACUGGCAGAGGCAGGAGGUAGUCUGAUAGGCAGACUGGCAGAGGCAGGAGGUAGUCUGAUAGGCAGACUGGCAGAGGCAGGAGGUAGUCUGAUAGGCAGACUGGCAGAGGCAGGAGGUAGUCUGAUAGGCAGACUGGCAGAGGCAGGAGGUAGUCUGAUAGGCAGACUGGCGGAGGCAGGAGGUAGUCUGAUAGGCAGACUGGCGGAGGCAGGAGGUAGUCUGAUAGGCAGACUGGCAGAGGCAGGAGGUAGUCUGAUAGGCAGACUGGCGGAGGCAGGAGGUAGUCUGAUAGGCAGACUGGCAGAGGCAGGAGGUAGUCUGAUAGGCAGACUGGCAGAGGCAGGAGGUAGUCUGAUAGGCAGACUGGCAGAGGCAGGAGGUAGUCUGAACUAUUAAUGUAAUUACAGUCAACUCCCUUUACUGCAGAGGUGUAAAAAAAAAAACUGACCUCUAUUGACCUUUCAUCAACUAUAAUACUAAACAGGGAGUAUUCUGUAGGGAGAGGGGAACAGGGAGAAAGGGGAGAGCGAGAGGAAAUGGGAGAGAGAAUCUUGUGUGUGGGGCAUUCAUCUGUUCUCUGCUGGUGUGUGUUAUUUGUAGUGAAGCAGGAGAAGGAUAGCUGGUUGGGCUGAUUGAGUCCUCUUUGUGAUUAUGGGAUCAUAGGUUAGUCUGACCAGACAAUAAAUGAUUAUUUUCUCUUAUUGUUAAAUGAGGAUUGGUUUCACAGCGUGGUGCAUCAGCUGUGUCUGAGAGCAGACAUAACAACAAGACUUACUUUAAUCACCCUCUUUAAUCAUAUGGAAAUUAAUUUGGAACAUCUAUACAAAUUGAUGAAUAUACAAAUAGAUGGGCAAACAUUAUUUUUGGGCUGUUGCGUCUCUGUCUGUCGUGACCGAGUGACCGAGGACGUGUUAUUUUGUCCACCGUGGGUUUGGAAUCAGCUGGUCCUCUACAUCAACUGUUUCUAGCCACAGCACCACCCCACAGAGAUGCAGGGCAAUUUCAGGAAUCACUCUAGGUCUGCAUGCAGACUUCACCUGGCAAUCUUCUAAACAAGGGGGAGGUUAAAUCCUAGUACACACAGAUACAGGUGCUCACAGCUUCUUCCAGUGAUAAACCAGGCAUUUUUCUGAGAAGUGGUUCUUUAUUGUCAACAUGUGUUCCUGUAUUUACAGUGGCCGUGUGGAUAGUGUACAACACAUUUAUGUUCAUGUACAUUCUCUAAUAUUUACUCUGUUUAUGUCCUGUGUAUGGUCCUAUGCAUCAACACAUGGCCACUGAUAUAUAAUCACAGAAGGCUGCUUAGUUGUGUCCCUUUGUUGUGUCUGUGACCUCAGACUUAAAAAAGCUGCUCUCAUUGUCACCCUUCUCAGAUGUGCUGGUGUCUAGUAAUACAGUGAUUGGCUGUUGCCAUCUCAUGUGUCUUUGUCGUGCCUGUGUCUCAUGUUUCAUAUGCUGCUGCAGUGUGAGUGUGUGUGCUUGUCAAUACCCCCUGCUUAGGUUCAUUGCUCCACUAAUAUGUCAUCCAUGACGUGCAGCGGGGAUGGUUUGGGACAUGGAGUACCCUUGGGCCAAGCUGGACUAUGAAACAAUGUUAAAGGUGUCAUUGCGGUAAUUGAAGAAGGCUCCCUCAGUGGCAGCACGAGUGCUGAGCUCAGUGUUUCCG